rnacentral:rRNA from 2 species
CUGGCGGCGUGCUUAACACAUGCAAGUCGAACGAACCUUCGGGUUAGUGGCGGACGGGUGAGUAACGCGUGGGAAUCUGCCCUCAGGAGGGGGAUAACGGUUGGAAACGACCGCUAAUACCCCAUAUGCCGAGAGGUGAAACGAAUUUCGCCUGAGGAUGAGCCCGCGUCUGAUUAGCUAGUUGGUGGGGUAAAGGCCUACCAAGGCAUCGAUCAGUAGCUGGUCUGAGAGGAUGAUCAGCCACACUGGGACUGAGACACGGCCCAGACUCC